GCGCCCGUAGCUCAGCGGACAGAGCAACGGAUUCCUAAUCCGUCGGUCGGAGGUUCGAUCCCUCUCGGGCGCA
rnacentral:tRNA from 1 species